UACGAAGGGGGCUAGCGUUGCUCGGAAUUACUGGGCGUAAAGGGCGCGUAGGCGGAUGUUUAAGUCGGGGGUGAAAGCCCAGGGCUCAACCCUGGAAUUGCCUUCGAUACUGGACAUCUUGAGUACGGGAGAGGUGAGUGGAACUCCGAGUGUAGAGGUGAAAUUCGUAGAUAUUCGCAAGAACACCAGUGGCGAAGGCGGCUCACUGGCCCGGUACUGACGCUGAGGUGCGAAAGCGUGGGGAGCAAACAGG
rnacentral:rRNA from 1 species